AUCCAGAUGAAGUCUCAAAUAGGACGAAACGCGUAUCCUGGAU
rnacentral:hammerhead_ribozyme from 1 species